CUGGCGGCGUGCUUAACACAUGCAAGUCGAACGAUGAUCCCCGCUUGCGGGGGGAUUAGUGGCGAACGGGUGAGUAACACGUGAGUAACCUGCCCUUAACUCUGGGAUAAGCCUGGGAAACUGGGUCUAAUACCGGAUAUGACUCCUCAUCGCAUGGUGGGGGGUGGAAAGCUUUUUGUGGUUUUGGAUGGACUCGCGGCCUAUCAGCUUGUUGGUGAGGUAAUGGCUUACCAAGGCGACGACGGGUAGCCGGCCUGAGAGGGUGACCGGCCACACUGGGACUGAGACACGGCCCAGACUCCUACGGGAGGCAGCAGUGGGGAAUAUUGCACARUGGGCGCAAGCCUGAUGCAGCGACGCCGCGUGAGGGAUGACGGCCUUC
rnacentral:rRNA from 1 species